rnacentral:rRNA from 1 species
CCGGCGACCGGCGCACGGGUGAGUAACACGUAUGCAACCUGGCCGUGACAGAUGGAUAACCGGGAGAAAUCCCGCCUAAUACAACAUAAUGCCGGGAGGGGACAUCCCCUGCCGGCCAAAGGGGGCGACCCCGGUCACGGAUGGGCAUGCGGCGCAUUAGGUAGUUGGUGGGGCAACGGCCCACCAAGCCGACGAUGCGUAGGGGUUCUGAGAGGAAGGUCCCCCACAUUGGUACUGAGACACGGACCAAACUCCUACGGAAGGCAGCAG